rnacentral:rRNA from 1 species
UAGGGAAUAUUAGUAAUGGGCGAAAGCCUGAACUAGCAACACCGCGUGUGCGAAGAAGGCCUUCGGGUUGUAAAGCACUUUUUGAGAGGAUGAGGAAGGACGGUACUCUCAGAAUAAGUCUCGGCUAACUACGUGCCAGCAGCCGCGGUAACACGUAGGAGGCAAACGUUAUCCGGAUUUACUGGGCGUAAAGCGCGUGUAGGUGGUUUGGUAAGUAGAGCGUGAAAGCUCCUGGCUCAACUGGGAGAGGUCGUUCUAAACUGCCGGACUAGAGGAUGGUAGAGGGAGGUGGAAUUCCAGGUGUAGCGGUGGAAUGCGCAGAUAUCUGGAGGAACACCAGUGGCGAAGGCGGCCUCCUGGACCAUUCCUGACACUCAGACGCGAAAGCUAGGGUAGCAAACA